GCCCAAAACAGGACUUGUCCUGCGGCUGAGUUGCUUUGGCCUGUCCCAGAAGCUGUUAGCUUCUGUAUUCUACACUCUCACCUGUGCAGAAUACUCUCGCCGGUGUCCCGGAACCAAGAUGUCUGCCGCAGAUGCUCAGGCAAAGCGCUCCCAGGCUGGGCGGACCCCUAUCCUCUGGCCAGGAAAGUGGCCGGAUGUCUGGGGCCCAAAAAGGGGGCUGCCUUACAAGUUCUGUGGCUCCCGCCUGUCCCAGAAGUUGUUAGCUUCUGUAUUCCGCACACUCACCUGUGCAGAAUACUCUCAGCGGGGUCCUGGAACCAAGAUGUCUGCUGCCGAUGCUCAGGCAAUGUGCUCCCAGGACGGGCAGACCCCUAUCCUCUGGCUGGGAAAGUGGCCCAGCAUUUAGUUUUUAAUGUCUUAGAAUAUCCUCCAGAUUGUGACAACUCAUACUUCCAUUGUUUUUACCUUUUUUUUUUUUAAGGUAUUUUUGUAGUGAUCAUAAGUAAAUUAAAGUUCUCGAUCCUCCAAGCCCCCUAGAAUGGUGUAGAACUCCUACCAUAUUAGGAAAGAUACAUAAUCUUGACAUGAUGUAACUUUGAUCACGUGGUUAGGGUAGUAUCUGUCAAGUGUAUCCAUUGUAAUCAGUUGUUAGAAUCCAGCCCAUCUUCAGGGGAAUUGGAACCAUUUAAGUUCCACCUUUGGGAGAGAGUUAGGUGUCAAGUAGUAUAAAUAUCAGGCAUCAUACAUAUUAUGAAAAAUGUUUGGAUACUUUGUAGAUACUUCUUCAUAAAGGUUUGCCCAUCAUGUUACCAUACUUUUGUAAUCCCCCAACCCCCCCCCCAACUUAUGUAAAAGACACUAUGACAUAGCAAGGAAGGCUUAUGUCAUUAAUCUAAAAAUGUAAGUAUCUUAGCCAAAAGAGACAAUUAAAUUUCAGUUUAAACUUUUAAAAUUUGUUUGAUCCAAAUAAUGUUACAGGAUCCAAAUUUUUUUCUUUUGAAACAAGAUAUCCAUGUAGCCCAAGCUGCCCUCCAUUUUGCUGAGACAAGGUCUCUUGCUGGGACCUGUGGCUCUUUGCUAUGGCUAAACUGGCUAAGCUCCAGGGAACCUCCAGUCUACUUCCCCAUUGCUAGGAACAUGUGCUGCCACGUCUGGUUUUUAUGUGGGUUCUGAGGAUCUAAUUCAGAUCCUUAUGCUGAAGGGUUGCACUUUACUGACUCAACUGUCUCCUCAGCCUUUAUGGUUAAGUGUUUUUAUGACAUUUUUUUCAUAUAUGUGUGUGGUUACAAAUUCCCCUGAGUGCUUAUGAUGGUCAAAGGAUACUUUGUUGGUUCUCCACUUCCUGUGGGUCCAGGGGCUUGAACUCAGUUCAUCAGGCUUGAUCUCAAGUGCUUUUACCUGCUGAGGGCAUUUUGCCAACCCAGUAAGUGGAGAUUUCAUCAUGGCUGUGUGACUUAUGUAUGCUUUAUACCUUGUAACGAUUCUCCUAUGCUAUAAAUUUUGGAUAAUACAUUUCCAUAGAUGUAAUUUGUAGUUUCGAGUCUUCAUUUAUGUUUUUUCUACUUAAGUAUAUUCUGUUACUUGGAUUUCAACAUUCAAAAUUGUGAGGUGAGCCUUAUGUGGUAGUACAUUCCUAUAAUCUCAACAUUCCAGAGCCUGAGACUGGAGUAUUACAAGUUUGAGAUUAUCUGAACGACAUAGUGAACUUCCUUGUCUCUGCUUCUGAGUUACAUGGUGGGUUUUUGUCUUUCUCUGCCUCUGUCCGUCCAUCUGUCAAUCUCUUUUACACACACACACACAAACACACACACACACACACACACACACACACACACACACACACGCACACGCAGAGAACACAUCCAAGACAAUUCUACCUUUGAGCUAACUAAGCCACUUUUCAUUAAAAAGUACCAAUCUUAUUUGAUAGCAGUGGAAAGUUGAUUAAUAUACUUUAUUUGAAAUGAAAAUCAUAGAUACUUUAAUUUUCCAAACCACAGACAAGGUUUGAAAAGGGAGGGGGUGACCUAUUUUUCUACUAACUAGAAAAAAGAAUAGAAGCGGUACUAUUGUUAUAACCAUAUAGUUUGCCAUGAUCUUGUUAGAAAAUGUCAUUAAGUGUGGUUUUGUUUUUUUGUUUUUUUGGUUUUUGUUUUUUGUUUUUUUUUUUUGCAGGGGGGGGGAGUGUUUUAAGAUAGGAUUUCUCUAUGUAGCCUUGGCUGUCUUGGAACUCACUCUAUAUAGACCAGGCUGACCUUGAACCCACAGAGAUCUGCCUGCCUCUGCCUCCUUGAGUGCUGGGAUUAAGGUGCAUACCACCACCACCACCAGGCUGUCAUUAAGUAUUUUAAAGGUGCAUAUUAGGUUCUUCUGUGGAGAACUUGGAAAAAAUUGAAGCUCACUCCUUCAAAUGAAAUAUAUACCAAUUGCAGUUACACUCCCAUCUGCCCAAGAGAACUAAAAACUUGCCUUCAAAAUAUGUUGGGAACAGCUGUAUAGUCCCUCAAUGAUGCCAAUUCAAAUGUUGAUUAAAAGAAUGGAUUAAAAGAAUUGAGAUGCCACUCUGCACUUAGAUUGAAUUAUUGAUGAAACACAGAUGAAUCUCGUAAACAUUGUUUAAUGAAAGAAGCCAGACACAAAAGAGUAUAUAUUGUAUGAUUCUAUUUAUUACGAAGUGUAAAACCCAGCUCUAAUAUUAGAUGUGAAUAGAUUGCCUCUGGAUAGUAGGGGCAUUAAAGGAAUUAAAGGGUAUAAGAGAAUUUUCUGGGUAAUGAAAAUGUCCUGAAACCUCAACAUAUACUCUAAGAAGUGUUCAUUUCAUUGUAUAGAAACUUUGUCAGAAACAAACAAAAACCAACAAGAAAACAGAGCAGGUGAAAUGACUCAGAAGGUAAAGGCAUUUGCCACCAAUCCUAAGAACAUGAGUUUUUUUCCUGCAACUUUUUCUCUGACCUCUGUGUGAUAUGAUGUGUUCAUCUACCAAUACAUGAAUAUAGUAAGAAUUUUUAAUAACAGACAAAAUAUGCACAUUUAGAUGCUGCAUGCCAGAGAUUGUGACUUAAUUUGUCUAGCUUGAUGGCUUGUGCAUAGAUUCUGAUGCACUGUCAUAAUUAAGAACUUGGAGUUCAGUAGGAAGAGUCAUUGGUUACAGACAGCUUGUCUUUGGGUGUAACUCCACUCUGCGUGCACUUGUCACACGUGUAGGUUGAUACAGGUGUAUUAUACUGCCAAAUAAACUACAGUUAGAAGAGACAUUGCUGUUUGUGCUAAGAUUUGAUGACAAAAAUAUUUGAUACAUUUUAAAACAAAAUCUUGAUAUUCCAUAAUUUACUGGAUUUUAAAGUCUGUUU
rnacentral:lncRNA from 1 species